CUCACCUCCGGUGCGUGAACGCACUCUCAGUGGUGGUACGGCCGCAAGAGAAAGUCAAGAAGUGGCGCAGCUGGCUCACUUCACCAGUGGCCCUAACUAUUUUAGUUUUGGCUGUCGUAGGUCAGUCCACCACAGGAAUACCGCACCUGCAGCUUUCACAGCGACUUCCUUGCACCUCUCACGUGCAAGUACCUUAUCCCUUUCUUGCUACUCGCUAUUCUGCGUGUUGUUUGCUAUCCCAUGGACCUUAACGACUUUCUGCGCAACACCAAAACCGCAGCGCAGAACGGUAACGCCUGCGCUCGGACUCUGCUGUCGGGUCACAAACGUUUUGGAGACGCCAACGAGGCGUCAGCUGAGGCUUCCUCCAGCGGUGCAGGUGCGAGUGGCAAGCGCCCCCGACGCAGCGGAACUGCGGAGGGGCUGAACAUACAGGCGGCGCAGGAAGCCCUCGCGCAGGAGCGUGGCAACACCUCGGCUCAGGCGCAGCAGCAGCGCGCGCAGGCUGAGCUCUUAUCGGAGCAGGCGGCAGCGCGCAUGGUGCAUCAGGUUCUGGAAUAUGUGAUGCAAGUGGAGCUGGGUGGUCGGCACAACGCAGCCAAAGGAGGCAUUGCACCGUUUGUUCCGUCUGCGGCGCAGCUGGCGGCCGAGAAAGCCAUGUGGACACCUGCAGCAGGCUAUGUAAUCCAUCACGUGGUGCCUGCCACGCUCGACACGUCCCCGCAAACGCUCGAGUCGCUGAUGAGCGUCACAGAGAAGGAGCGGGUGCCAGAGGGGGUGCGCGCUCUCCGCGGCACGUUGCAGGUGUGCGACACAGAGCGUGAUUUGGUCGGAGGCGUGCGCACCAGCAUGGCGCCGCACCUUCGCACGCAUGUGUUGGAGGUGCUAGAAAAGGGCCUUCGCGGCCAGGCAUGGCUACGUGACGACGCGGCGGUGGCUACCCAGAUCUCCGCGCUUGGCAAGCCGACAACGCCAGAUAAGGGCCCGUCUAGCGUUCUGCUAUUUGGUGGUUUAACCACAGCUUCUGUCGCGAACAGCGACGCGACAAGCAGUGCACGCGAUACGGCAUCGGCUGGUGAUGGGGCGUCAAAACCACGAUCCAAAGGCUUCUCGCUCGCAGCCUUCCUUAACAGUAAUGACCCCACCUCGUCGUCGUCAGAUGGGGAGGAUCCGUGACGCCCUCGCAUAUCGGCCUUUUUGACUGGCGUAUUGGUCGGCACUCAUGCGCUCGCGUGUGUGCGCGCGAACCUAUGCUUUCGAGACGCCGUUUCGAAGUGUAUGGCGGCCCCACAUUUUGGUCUUUUCCCCUCCCAUGCGCAGUGGGCAGUGUGGUGGGGCUCAUCGCUCCUCAGGUACGCUCUCUGCAUAGCAGUUCCACAUGCACCCCUCAAAGAAGCCUCGCUCGUUUCCAUCCGUGACAGGAAGGCGCGGUAGCGCUGACACUCUCUGCCCUUUCCUACUUCCUUGAAUGUGUCCCUACAGUCCGAUACGCUUCUGGUGGUCUUCUGUUUCUCCUCCAAGUGCGAAGCAAUCGCUCGCCGUGAACACCCGUUCUUCGGCUCGUCCUUUCGCUCCCGCUCUCGCUCUCACUCCUGGCUCUUCU
rnacentral:misc_RNA from 1 species